rnacentral:lncRNA from 1 species
AGUCUCUUCCUGCUGCCUGAUGAUCUAGAUGUAGAGCUCUCAGCUCCUUCUCCAGCACUAGCUCUGCCUGUGUACCACCAUGCUUCCCUCCAUGAUGAUAAUGGACUAAACUUCUGAACUGUAAGCCAGCCCCAGUGAAAUGGUGUCCUUUAUGAGUGGCCAAGGUCAUGAUGUCUCUUCACAACAAUAGAACCCUAACACUAGAAUGUCACUGCAUGGUCAUGCUGGCUUUAAACUCACGUCCCAAGUGCUAGUAUUACAGUCCUGUGUCACCAUGCCUAGCUGUCAGAAGUUUACGAAGCUGAAGAAGGCCACACUCAGGUGUCUGAAGGACGGCCAG